rnacentral:misc_RNA from 1 species
GCAGCUGCAUAAGUUCUUAUCAAUGACUCAAACACAUUUGCCCCCACAUUAUCUAUGGCCUUCUUCAAAAUCUCAAUAAAACCCUCUGCUCCAUCAACAUCCUUCUGUUGCUCAAAAUGUGCCAUGAAAGACCCAAUAAUCUCAGAUGAUGGAACCCACUUCUGACCAUCACCUCUACCUGUAGAUAUUGCAUUGGAUAAACAAUCAAUUGCCAAUUUUAUAUCCCCAUUUUCCAAAUAAUAGUCCAAAAAUAUUUCCCAAGUUUUAGCAUUAGGUUUGGCCCGUUUCCGUUGGGCUCUCUCCUUAAGCUCUUCCGCCU